UCAUAGUGCCUGGAAUUCUCUUAUAAGGAGUACUGACAGUGUUCUGCGGGCAGCGGGAGAGGGUGUGGGGUUCUGGAGGGCUUGGGGGCAGCUGAUACAAGAGCCGUUUAUACAAUGGUUCCUCUGUGGAAGGGGGAAUGAAUUGGCCAAGGCCAGAACUACCGGAGGAUGACAAAGUAAAGGGCUAUAGCAGCAGCCUGGAUGACCAGUGAUGAGGUCCAAAGUAUGACACAGCCAUGGAGGUGGGAGAAAACAUUCAGGAGGGAUUUGAACCUGCGAUUCUGAAAGGUCCCCUGUGCACAAUGGCAUCGUGUGUGCAGGAACCCACAAGGAUUCAGCAGUUUAUAUAUCUCAUCUAGUUUAGCUCUCGAAACAACCCAGUGAGGUCAACAUUAUGGAUGCCCAGCUUACAGAUGAGAAAGUUGAGCUCCAAGACACUAGAGGAUGAGCAGAGAUAUUAAGGAAGGAAAGACACUGGGUGAAUUGUGAAGAGAUUUGUUGUGACUGACUGCUGGGUCUGAGCUGUCGCAGAGCCACUGACAGCGUGGGGGAUUCCAAGAACUCCGCGGAAGAGAACCAGGAGCACACGCAUCAGGCACUGGGACACGCACAGCAAUGCAUUUCAGCACUGUGUCGAACUACACCAAGGUGCUGACUUGUUAGUCUCUGAGCCCAAGUUAGUUCCUGCUGGUAAGUGAGGCCGCUAGUUCUGUUGCCCUCUUUGCACUCACUCCCUGGGAACAUCUUUUCCAGAUACUGCUCAGGUCACCUGAAACCAGUGACCCACUGCACUGCCUCUCGGAGCCACGCUGAGAGUUUCAGCAGGAGGGUGUGGUGCUGCUGGUGCGCCGGUGGCCUCACGUGUCUACCACAAGGCUGCACGUCCACCACUGGGACGGCCUUCUCCCUAAUUGACUAACUGCUUGAACAGAGUUUUGCAAACUUUCUCUGAGGAGACCAUGGAGUUGUUGCACAAUGUAAAAUCUUUCAGUGGUUUAAGCCUAAAAGGACAUGAUUAUUCUUAUUAUCAUUUUAGAGACUUACUAGAGAUGGGCUCAAGCUAUCUGCCUUUUGCUGUAAGUUAAUCAGUGUCACAUGCCCCUUCCUAAAGUCCCUUUUAGGAAGGUGACUUCCUGAAGUCACCUAAGGUUUGUCCACAGCAGCCUCUGAGAAUAAGGUGAAAUCCAUGUUUCAUAGGCAGACUUGCAUUUGAAUCACAGCAUCACUACUUUCUACCUUUUCAAAGCCCUUUUUAGCCCUCCUCUGCCUUCUCAUACUUGGGGGACAGAAUCUAGACAUAACAAAAUAUUCUGUAUAAGCUAGAGGGUAGCAUUUCUUGACCCAAACCACUUUACAUAUUUGGAGGGAAAUAAGAGGCUCAGACAUGGAGGCAGGAAAUCCUCAGGCAAGGAGAGCAAGAACAAGAGCAGGCCAGGUGGGCAUGACCCAGGUGGGACACAUUCCCUCCCAGCAUGGCCUGUCCUGGUUACCGUCUGGGUAGCAGGGACAGGGCAGGUGUUAGCUGUGCAGUCAGUUGAUCCACUUUCUCUCUGACUGUUUUCUCAUCCCAAAUGAGAGAUGAUGGCCCCAAAUUUUCACAAUCAUGAUGAAAAUUAAGAGCAAUACUAUAUGUAACAUGCCAAUCACAGUACUUGGCAUAGGAGAGGUACUCAGCCAUUGGGUGUCCCUUUUCUUUAUGAUGGAAGUUAAAUUUUAGAAUUUUCUAGGUGGUUUUACAGAUAUCAUCUCUUUGAUAUUUUGAAAUCCUGGGGAAGAAAUUAGGAUCUGCAUUUAUAUGUCUGUUGAAGAGACGAGGAAAAUUGAGGCUCAGGAAAUAGGCCAAAGCCCUGUAAUUGGUAAGUGUACCAAACUCUCCCAAUCCCAGUGCAUGUCUCAAAUGCUGGUAGGAUGACAGGCAGACAUUUCCCCCUUUCAAGGAUUUUCCGUGUGGUAAGUGCCAAGAUUUUGAUUCAUUUGAAUUGCUCCUUUCCAGAACGCUGGCCUCUGGGGAAAUGGGAAGUGUCCCGUUCCAUUCUGCCACCAUAUUUCGAGCUUCUCCCAUAGCCUGAAACUUUCCAUAUUAUCUCCUAGCACCCCUCUACUCUCAUUUGCUGAGAAGCCAAACCUAAAAUGAUUUAUCUCUUAAAAAACAACCCACUAUUAAAUUAUUUAUAAAGCCUCUUUCUAUCCAUUCCAUUCAUUGGUUACCAUUUUGAGAAAAACAAUCACACACACAGAAUGCUCUUAAUAAAAGGUCAUUUGAGAAAAUCCACAUUUAAUCAACAGAUACUGUGAGGGUGCAGGAGGUGCCUGUUACUGUGAGGGUGCAGGAGGGAAAAGCAGUGAGCGGCUCCCCUUACAAAGCCGUGGGCCCCUCUGUCCUGGAGGGAGGUCUUGGCAGUUGAGGUGUGCCUUGGGGUAGGAACCAAGGAGCCAGAGGUUAAAGAAAGAGUGAAGCAAACUCUGCCUUGGAAGAAAAAUGAUGGCUGUGUUAGAGUGGUAAGAAUAUUAUGCUUUCCCUUUUUGAAAUGUUAUUUAAAGUUUUAUUAAAUUUUUAAUUUAUGCUGCUAUAAAAAUGAAGUAAGAAAACUGGCUCAUUGGAACCCACUAUGUGUGAGUUUAGAGAAAACAUCAUCAUGUCUAAUUUGGGUCAAUGCCUUUAUGCAUACCGACACAGCUCUCCGUGCCACGGCCUCUCUUCUGAGCCUCUCACCUCAGCCGUCUAGUAUGUGACCACCUGAGUUUGUUCCUGACCAGGACUGGUUAUGUGAUUUGCUGGGCUCAGUGUACAAGAAAAAUAGGGGACCCUUGGUUUAAAAAGUAGCAAUAAAAGUGCCUUUAAAAGUACAAAUAUAAAGCUUUUUCUUCUAUAGUCUCUGUACUUAUGGUGUUUUUAGUUUGCUAUUUGAUGACAUUCUAAAUAAAGAAAAAUUGAACUUGUGCAAAGUGAGUUUUAAACGUAAAUAUUAGAAGAACAUCUAUCUACCUUUUAUCAGAGUCACCGAAUUGUCACAAUUCAUAUUUUGUAGCUCCUACCUGCAUACAUACUUUAUUUGUAUCAAAACUGUGGAAACACUGCAUAAAACUAACUCGACUGCUUUUUUUUUUUUUAAUUUCACUUCUUGAUACGCAAACAUUCUACCAACACUGUACCUAUGACUUACUGAUGAGAAAGAAGAACUGAAAGGAAAAGAAACUGCGGGUUGCCCCAUCUUUCUCAUUUCUUCCAUUUCAUCAUUCUCAUCACAUUUGAUUGGUUAAAACAAGGAAGUAACACAACUGUGAGAAGAUAUAACAGGAUUCCUUUGUGUCUUAGAAGGUCAUUGCUUUUUUUCUGCAUUUGGAGCAAGUCUGGUUUGAAAGGGAAGCGUGGCCCUUUGGGGCUAUCAGCAGCCCUGAUUACAUGUACUUAAAUGAAAUACGCUUUCCUUGAACUCCUUCUGAGCCUCACUGAGCUCCCAUGCAGCACGGGUGCUGUAGCAUUCUGCGUGGAAAGGACAUCUCAAACACCAAAUGAGAACGGGAUGCAGGGAAAAGAGGACACAUAUUGUUCAUAUCUGCUCACAGGCAUGUUCCCUUGUUUCAUCUGACCUGCAAAGCAUAUGUUCAAAAAUAAAAUCAUUAAGAAAUUCAA